rnacentral:rRNA from 1 species
UACGAAGGGGGCUAGCGUUGUUCGGAAUUACUGGGCGUAAAGCGCGCGCAGGCGGUCCUUCAAGUCAGAGGUGAAAGCCCAGAGCUCAACUCUGGAAUGGCCUUUGAAACUGGAGGACUUGGGUACGGGAGAGGUGAGUGGAAUUCCGAGUGUAGAGGUGAAAUUCGUAGAUAUUCGGAAGAACACCAGUGGCGAAGGCGGCUCACUGGCCCGUUACCGACGCUCAGGCGCGACAGCGUGGGGAUCAAACAGG